rnacentral:ncRNA from 1 species
UCGGGCCUGAACGCGGGCGCCCGGUCAGACGGCUUUCGUCCAAGUCCCGC